UGAACGGGGAGGUAGUGACGAUAAAUAACGAUGCAGAACUCUUUCCGAGGCUCUGCAAUCGGAAUGGGUACACUCUAAACACUUUAACGAGUAUCCACUGGAGGGCAAGUCUGGUGCCAGCAGCCGCGGUAAUUCCAGCUCCAGUAGCGUAUAUUAAAGUUGUUGCGGUUAAAAAGCUCGUAGUUGGAUCUGUGUUUCGAGCCGUCGGUUCGCCGCCCGUCGGCGUUUAACUGACGCGUCUUCGGAACGUCCUGCCGGUUGGCGGUCGGUCGCGCGUCUUGCCCUCGCCGUCCGCUCAGGCGGUUCGGAAUCACGGGGGUAUCAAAGGCGGACAUGCGACGCGCCAGUGUCGAUCACCCGUACCCGAUGCUCUUUAUUGAGUGUCGAGGCGGGCCGGCACGUUUACUUUGAAUCAAACUGGGUGCUCAAGGCAGGCUAACAGAUAAUUACCGCCGGAAAGAACUUGCAUGGAAUAAUGGAAUAGGACCUCGGUUCUAUUUUGUUGGUUUCCGGAACCCCGAGGUAAUGAUAAAUGGGGACUGACGGGGGCAUUAGUAUUGCGGCGUUAGAGGUGAAAUUCUUGGAUCGUCGCAAGACUACCUAAAGCGAAAGCAUUUGCCAAGGAUGUUUUCAUUAAUCAAGAACGAAAGUUAGAGGUUCGAAGGCGAUCAGAUACCGCCCUAGUUCUAACCAUAAACGAUGCCAGCCAGCGAUCCGCGGUGGUUCGUUAGAAAUGACCCCGCGGGCAGCCUCCGGGAAACCAGAGCUUUUGGGUUCCGGGGGUAGUAUGGUUGCAAAGCUGAAACUUAAAGGAAUUGACGGAAGGGCACCACCAGGAGUGGAGCUUGCGGCUUAAUUUGACUCAACACGGGAAACCUCACCAGGCCCGGACACCGAAAGGAUUGACAGAUCGAUAGCUCUUUCUUGAUUCAGUGGGUGGUGGUGCAUGGCCGUUCUUAGUUGGUGGAGCGAUUUGUCUGGUUAAUUCCGAU
rnacentral:rRNA from 1 species